rnacentral:lncRNA from 1 species
UCGUUGAAGACUUAUUUCCUGUGUUCCUUAAGUAGUAAGGCUAACUUUUUUGUUGUUCUUGUUGGAGUCAGAGGUUCAUGUAGGGGUCAGGUUGGUCAUGUAGCUAAGGAUGACUUUGCAUUCCUUACCUUCUUGCCUCAGUUUACCAAGGUAAGUAGCACUGUAGCUUGCCUCCUUUACACUGGGUUUCUCUUUCUACAACUGCUCGUAGUGUCUGUUGUAUAACUUAGCUCUCGACUAUGUCUGUGAUCAUCUUAUCUCUGUUUCCUUAAAGAGAGUGACAGCUUACACUUGAUAUCUCUACAUUGCACAGCACUUAAAAUAAGAAGGUAACAAGCACUUGGAGGCCAGCCACUCAGAAGGGUAAUGCCAGCUUGGGCAGCAGAGCAAAAAACUUUCACACAUACCUAAAAUAAAAAUAGCCUAGAGUGGCCGGGCGUGGUGGUGCACACCUUUAAUCCCAGCUCGGGAGGCAGAGGCAGGCAGAUUUCUGAGUUCGAGGCCAGCCUGGUCUACAACAUGAGUUCCAGGACAGCCAGGGCUACACAGAGAAACCCUGUCUCGAAAAACCAAAAAAAAAAAAAAAAAAAAAAAAAAAGCCUAGAGUGGUAGCAGGUGCUUGUGAUCCCAGCAUGCUGAAAGUCGGGCACAGUAGGAUUGCCUUAAGUUUGAGGCUUGAUUGCCUUAGUCUGGACUACAAAGUGAGGUCUUGCCUCAAGUCAAAGCAACAAAUCAGCAGGUUUGAUGGCACCUGUCUAUAAUCUUAGCACUUGGGAGAGAGAAGCAAGAUCAGGAGUUCUAAGUCAUCUUCAUCUUCAAGUACAUAGUGAGUUCCAGACCAGAUUGUCUUAAAAACAAAACAAGC